AGAAGAGUGACGCAAUGGAAGAGUGCUGGGCCGAUAACCCAGAGGUCCGUGGAUCAAAACCACGCUAUGCAA
rnacentral:tRNA from 1 species